rnacentral:lncRNA from 1 species
GGGCUGCUAAUUUUUAGACUUUAUUUUUAGAAUCUAUUUUGUUAGAUUUGGAAGACGUGACAAGACACACACAGUAGGUUUCUUUUCUUUUCUUUUUUUUUUUGAAGCAGAUUUAGUCUUAUUAAAGCAAAAAUAUUUUCUGUAUAAUCAUUUUUAUUUAAUUUUUUUGCCAUUUUGAUAGUAGAAAGAUGGAUGUAAAUCAGGGAUGCCCAAACCUGGUCCUGGAGGGCCAGUGUCCUGCAGAUUUUAGCUCCAGCCUGCCUCAACACACCUGCAUGGAUCUUUCUAGAAUACUCAGUAAGAGUUUGAUUAGCUAGGCGUGUGAGUUUGGAACUAAACUUUGGAGGACACUGACCCCCCAGGACCGAGUUUGGGCACCCCUGAUCUAUAUGUACACAAAUUUAUGAAAUGACCAUAUUAACUAAAAGAUUAGUCUAAUUAUUGAUUUUUUUAUUAUUUGUUUUUGAUUUGUAAAUAAUCCCUGUGUUUUUCUUCUAUUCCAGAAGUUUUAAGCCAUAAAUUCCCAUCAGUGCCAAUCAAGUGAACAGCAAGGAGAGAUUAUUUGUUUUAAAUGUAUUAAAUAUCUGCAUAUUUGUAUGUCAGCAUAUGUUUGAAUGAUAUGUAUACAGAUACAAUUGCAAAUAAACGUCCUUUGUUCCAGUUUCCUGUUCUCACAGCUAGCAUUUACCAUGACAAAAGUGUGGGUCUCAAACUGAAUCUGUCGUAAAACAAUGCCAUACAUUGUUAAAGGGAAGAACUGUGUUAGAGAAUGGUUACUUUGAAUUUUGUUCUGUUUAAUUUCUUCCCAGUUUGUGCAUUACCAUUCAGAAGGGGAGUUAUUUUUCCUCUGGUGUUGAUUGGUAAUAGACAUGGCGCUUUGGUGUCCAUCGGCUUUUCUUUUUUUAAUUACAUUAUCUUGUAUGUCAUUUGUGAUUGCAGAGAAAAGAUUAUUAUGCUCAUCAGAGCACAUUAGUUUUUGGUACACCUUUGAUGGUCCAUUGUAUUACCUGUCAAUGACCAUUUCCCCCUGCUCUCAAGGAGUGUCCAUGUACACUGUAAAUUAUACACUAAUCCCAAUGUUCACAAUCACCCGUUUUGGAUUUCAUGGUAUCGUUUAUUACAAAGGUCAGAUGUGGUUGGAGCAUGACCAGCAAGAAGUUCUUUGUGAGGAUUACAAAAUAUGUUACAUCAUUAAAGGAGAAACACUGAAUGAGACCUUUCCACUUUAUAUAACAAAAUUUGAUGGCCCUGUGGGUGAUUAUCAGUUUUUUAUUACAUUGUACAUCACUGAUGACCUAGACAACAAAAUAUCUUUAAAAUUCAACAUCACAAUGGAAAUAAAAAGUGAUGGCAAUAAGAACAACCCUUUUUUCCCUCAACUCGGAGGAUUGUAG